AGCUGUAAAAGGCACUCGCUUGCUGCCCAGUCUGACAAAUUGAGUUCAGUCCCCUGGACCCACAUGAUGGACAGAGCUGACUUCCUGAAUUUUGUCUUCUGAUAUUCACAUCUAUGCUAUGGCAUGCAUGUAUGUUCCCUCCUUAAAUAAAUAUAAUUUUAUUUUUAAAUAAAUUUUAAAUAAUUAAAAAUAAAUUGUAUCCUCCAUGACAAUGACAAAUAAUAAGUAUGGAUUUUCAUAAUGUAUAAAAUGUAUGUUAUUAUAUAUCUCCUUCCUUUGUUGUGGCAUUGUUGCACAGAACGAGAGAGUGUGCAUGCUAGACCCAUAAGUUACACCCUAAUCUAUUUCCUUUGCUAUGGUUUAUUUACCUUGUCCAUUUGGGUCAUGUUAUGAUUUGCUGCUGCUGUGGUUUGUUUGCUUUUUUUUUUUAAAGUCAGAGUUUUACUAUAUAGCUUAGGCUGGCCUGUAACUCAAGGUCUUCCUGCCUCAGCUUCUUGAGUACUGAAUUAUAAGUACUUGAGUACUGGAAUUAUAAACAUUAACUGCCAUGCCUGGCUCUACUGUACUUUGAUGUUCAAGCGUCACAUUGUAAUUUGACAAUUUAUAUAGUAAACAUAGUUAAUUAAUGACUUUUUCAAUUAUGACUUGUUUCUUUUUUUCGUUUUUAUUACAUUUAUUGUGUGUAUGUGUUUGUGAGAGAGAGAGAGAGAAACAGAGGCAGGGAGCGAGGGAGGGGAACAAAAAUGAACACACAUCUUUAAGGAGCUGGUUCUGCCCUUUCACUUUGUGGGUACUGAGGCUUGUACUCAGGUUGUCAGGCUUGGAGGCAAAUGCCAUAACCUGCUGAACCAUCUCACGAGCCCACAUUUUAAUCUCUAAAAUAUGAUAAAUUGCCGGGCAGUGGUGGUGCAAGCCUUUAAUACCAGCACUUGGGAGGCAGAGACAGGCGGAUUCCAGGCCAGCCUGGUCUACAGAGUGAAUUCCAGAACAGCCAGGGCUACACAGAGAAACCCUGUCAUGAAAAGCCAAAAAAAAUUCAUAAGUUUACAGAUUGUAUAAUUUUUCUUUAGCUUAUUGUCCUGCUUUGUGAUUAAUGUGAAUUAAUUAUUUUUCCUGUGCUGGGGAAGGAACUUAGGACCUUUGUACAUGGCAGACUAGAAGCUAUGGUCCAUUAAGCCACACAUAAAGCCCAUAUGUGUGUUUAUUUGAAGGGAUUCCUGAAAACUCAUGGGAUUCAUGGACUUUCUUUAAAAUGCAGUUGCAUUUUCUCUGCGUCACCCUCAGCAGUCUCAGUUCUGCCUAUUGUCCUGGCCUUGAGGUAGUUUCUGCUGCAGAGAACACAGUGGGCCAUUUCUAAGGCUAAGUCUAAAACAUGGUACCCUGCCACACACUCCAAGAAGCCCUGAACCUUCUCUUCCUUGUUCUUGAGUCUGUAGCCACCAGUACCUUUGAGAAUGAGUAAAUGUCUGUAACUUUCAAAAGGAUUCCCACUCUUCCUCUACCAAAAGGAAAGGUUGAGAGCCAGGGAGGUUUUAAGUAGUAAUUAGUUACUUGGUUUCCACAAGAAAGCUAGCAAGCAGGGCUUAAGAAUGCUCUGUUGCAUUCCAUAAAGGGGGUGAGGCAGGAGUGGGAUGCUCUGGACUGUUUCCAGCUCUGACUACCCUUUCUUUCUUGCUGUUUCCAGAUCUGCCUGCCCAGUAGGCAGGGUGACCUAUCCUAGAAGGGGAAAGAGCAGGAAAAAAGAAGAAACUGUAAUUUGCUUUUAAAACCCUCCGGGGUCUCUUCUAUAUCCUUUCCUAAAAAGGCUCCACCCAUCAGGGAAGUAGGUUGUAGCUGCUAGCCCUGGACAGGAGCACACCAUUGCUGGCCCUCUGGGGCUGGGUUUUCCAUGGCUGAGGCAAACAUAAUACAGAGUUGAGUUCUAAGUCCCCACCGAUUUCCACUAUUGUUACUAUAUUACUAUUGUAUGUGUAUGUAGCAGUCAACCAACACAUUGUUUGCCAUGAGUAGAAUCCCAUGAUUUAAUUUACUUUCCUUAUUGCUCUUAUUUUCUUGUUUUUUUUUAAAGGACAUUUUAAUGAAACUUUUAUUUAUGUGUAUGUGUCUGUGCAUGUGAGUAUGAAUACUUGGAGACUAUGUAUUGGAUCCCUUGGAGCUGGAGUUAUAGGCAGUUGUACCAAGGAUAUAUGGGUGCUUCUAGCCAAAUGCAGAUUCUCUUCGAGAAUAUACGCUUAACUGAUAAAUUCUCUGUAGCCUUCUAAUUUUUUUUUUUUUUGAGAUGGCAUCUUGCUUUGCAGUUCAGGUUGAUCCCGAACUUUUGAACUUGUUGCUCUUGCAGGUAAUCUGUGUUGGUUCCCAGCAUCCACAUCGCAGCUUACAACCACUCCAGACUUCAGUCCCAGGAGAUCCAACAGCCUCUUUUAACAAACAGCCUCUUUUGAUGUCCUGGACAGGACAUGGACAUGAUGCACAUACAUACAUACAUAUAUACAUACAUACAUACAUACAUAAAUGCAAAACUUUCAUAGAUAUAAAUACAAAAGAAAAGAGAUAGGUCCUUUUGAAUUAAUGGAAAAAUGUUACUCCUGACAAACUUUCUUCUAUAUCUUAAAGAAUGAACAAAGCUAUGUAACUUACUACCCAGAUUCAGGACUCAUGCAGAAAGCUCAGGGUUCCAUCCACAGCAUUGAUUCCUCUACCCACCCACCCAAACCAAACCAAACCAAACC
rnacentral:lncRNA from 1 species